CCUUCCACAGCCCCCACCAUGGCCUCCACCACAGCCCCGAAAGUCUACCCUCUGGGUUCUUGCUGCGGGGACGCAUCCAGCUCCACCGUGACCCUGGGCUGCCUGGUCUCCAGCUACAUGCCCGAGCCGGUGACCGUGACCUGGAACUCAGGUGCCCUGACCAGUGGCGUGCGCACCUUCCCGGCCGUCCUGCAGUCCUCCGGGCUCUACUCUCUCAGCAGCAUCGUGACCGUGCCCGCCAGCACCUCAGGAUCCCAGACCUUUACCUGCAACGUAGCCCACCCGGCCAGCAGCACCAAGGUGGACAAGCAUGUUGAGGCCAGAUGUUCGGACCCCUGCAAAAAUUGCCGAUGCCCAGCCCCUGAGCUCCCCGGAGGACCGUCUGUCUUCAUCUUCCCCCCGAAACCCAAGGACACCCUCACAAUCUCUGGAACGCCGGAGGUCACGUGUGUGGUGGUGGACGUGGGCCAGGAUGACCCCGAGGUCAAGUUCUCCUGGUUCGUGAAUGACGUGGAGGUGAACACGGCCAGGACGAAGCCGAAAGAGGAGCAGUUCAACAGCACCUACCGUGUGGUCAGCGCCCUGCCCAUCCAGCACCAGGACUGGACUGGGGGAAAGGAGUUCAAGUGCAAGGUCUACAAUGAAGGCCUCCCGGCCCCCAUCGUGAGAACCAUCUCCAGAACCAAAGGGCAGGCCCUGGAGCCACAGGUGUACGUCCUGGCCCCACCCCGGGAAGAGCUCAGCAAAAGCACGGUCAGCCUCACCUGCCUGAUCACCGGCUUCUACCCAGACUACAUCGCCGUGGAGUGGCAGAGAAAUGGGCAGCCUGAGUCGGAGGGCAAGUACGGCACGACCCAGCCCCAGCUGGACGCCGACGGCUCCUACUUCCUGUACAGCAGGCUCAGGGUGAACAGGAGCAGCUGGCUAGAAGGAGACAGCUACACGUGUAUAGUGAUGCAUGAGGCUCUGCACAAUCACUUCACACAGAAGUCCAUCUCUAAGUCUCCGGGUAAAUGAGCCACACGUCCCUGCACCAGCAAGCCCUCACCCACCCCACCCCCCCGGGCUCCAGGUCCAGCCAGGACCCCCCAGCCCCUCCCUGUGUGCAUUCCUCCUGGGCCGCCGUGAAUAAAGCACCCAGCGCCGCCCUGGGACCCUGCAA